GGGGGGGGGGGGGGGGGGGGGGGGGGGGGGUGGGGGGGGGGGGUGGGGGGGGCUUGCGGGUGGGGUCGGCGGCGGGCUGGUGGGUAGUGCGGGGGGAUCUUCCUGGUAGUGGGGGGUAACGUCCGGAACGGGGCGCGCAUAGGGCAUGCGUGCUGAGGGAGACAGUGGGGGCUCUUCGGCCCUCCCGCUCUCCGAUUAUCCUCGGUCUGGUUAGCUCUUUUGUGGGGUAAAGGCCUACCAAGGCAACGAUCCGUAACUGAUCUUAGGGGAUGAUCAGUCACACUGGAACUGCGACACGGUCCAGACUCCUACGGGAGGCAGCAGUGGGGAAUAUUGGACAAUGGGCGAAAGCCUGAUCCAGCCAUGCCGCGUGUGUGAAGAAGGUCUUCGGAUUGUAAAGCACUUUAAGUUGGGAGGAAGGGCAGUAAGUUAAUACCUUGCUGUUUUGACGUUACCAACAGAAUAAGCACCGGCUAACUUCGUG
rnacentral:rRNA from 1 species